GAUGAACGCUGGCGGCGCGCCUAACACAUGCAAGUCGAACGAUUAAAGCACCUUCGGGUGUGUAUAAAGUGGCGAACGGCUGAGUAACACGUGGGCAACCUGCCCCUUUCAUUGGGAUAGCCACGGGAAACCGUGGAUAAUACCGAAUACUUCGAGACUUCCGCAUGAAAGACUCGAGAAAGCUCCGGCGGAGAGGGAUGGGCCCGCGGCCUGUUAGCUUGUUGGUGGGGUAACGGCCUACCAAGGCAAUGAUGGGUAGCUGGGUUGAGAGACCGACCAGCCAGAUUGGGACUGAGACACGGCCCAGACUCCUACGGGAGGCAGCAGUGGGGAAUCUUGCACAAUGGGCGAAAGCCUGAUGCAGCGACGCCGCGUGCGGGAUGAAGGCCUUCGGGUUGUAAACCGCUUUCAGCAGGGACGAGGCGAAAGUGACGGUACCUGCAGAAGAAGCCCCGGCUAACUACGUG
rnacentral:rRNA from 1 species